rnacentral:misc_RNA from 1 species
UUUUUUUUUUUUAAAAGAAUGUCAAUCUAUUAAGCGGCACAUAAUUUCAUUGAACCGAUGGAAACUGACAUUACUUAUUAAUACAAUUAUAUAAACCAAGGACAUAAUUCCAUAUCUAAGGGUAGAAGACACAAUGCAAAAGUUGAACUGUGAAGGCGAUAAGUGGGUGGGGCCUGAAGAUGCUUGGCCCUAGGAGUCACUAGACUGAACUCCUCAGCCAUAUCCAAAUCGGUUGGUAGCAGUUCAUUUGGAAGCUCCCAAUCGAAGCAAUGCACCAGCUGCGCCAGCACCAAUCGAACCACAGUUAUUCCCAGUUGAAUUCCAGGGCAACCCCUUCGGCCUGACCCAAAUGGAAGAAGCUGAAAGUCCCGUCCUCGAACGUCUACGUUGCACCCAGAAAACCUCUCUGGCCAGAACUUCUCUGCAUCACUCCAAGCAUUUGGAUCUCUUCCAAUUGCCCAUGCGUUUAUAAUAAUAUGUGACUUUUUUGGUAUGAGAAAACCUUCAAUAAUGGUGUCUUCCGUUGCCUCGUGAGGGAGUAGUAAUGGUGCUACUGGAUGGAGUCUGAAAGUUUCCUUUAUAACCAUCUCUAAGUAUUCCAAGCUCUCCAAGUCUGAUUCUUCCACCAUUCUUUCCUUGCCAACCUUCUCUUCCAACUCUUUUUGGACUUUCUUCAUUACUCGAGGGUGUAUUAUGAGUUCUGAUAAUGCCCACUCAAUUACUGCGGCUGAAGUGUCCAUUGAGCCUGCAAGCAUGUCCAAGAUUAUAGCUUUGAUGUUAUCUCUGCCUAUGUGAUAUUCAGACACUUCAGAACCCACGAAGCCCAACAUGACAUCGACGAAGUCUUUUGUUUUUUCGUCCUUCGACUGAAUAUGCUCAUCGAUAAUUUUCUCAAAGAAGUCAUCAAACACCUUGCUAACAGCCUUCAUGCGCUUUGUAAAACCCUGAAGAUCAAGUGCUGCAAUCUGAGGGAUGUAAUCACCCAAGUUAGGAGCUGCUGCUAACAUCAUAGCCUCUUGAAUUACAGCUUUGAAGCCUCUCUCAUCAAACUCUUUGUCCAUAUACUUUUUCCCAAAAACCAUUCUACAACUCAUAUCAGCACUAAGAGACGCGACCUUGGCACUGAGAUCAACAGAAACACGUUGAUGCGAAGCCUCCUUAAUGUGCUCAAUCAAGAGUUCAAGCUCUUCUUUUCUCAUGGAUUUGAAAGAAUUGAUCUUAAGGUUACUGAGCAACUCUAGGGUGCACAUCUUGCGCACAUUACGCCAAUAGGAGCCAUAUGAAGCAAAAGAUAAGUUCUUUUGCUCGUAGGACAUGUACUUGGCAGCCUCAUGAGGAGGCCUACUCGCAAAAUUAAGGUCAUGGAUCUUGAGAAACAAUUCGGCAGCUUUAGGGGAUGAGACAACAAUGGUUGGCAUCAAGCCUAACUGCAGAUGCAUAAUUGGACCAUAUUGUUUGGCUAGUUGAUGUAGAGCUCGGUGAGGGAACUUCCCCAGCAAAUGAAGGCUGCCAAAUAUAGGUAGCCCUCUUGGACCUGGAGGUAGUUUCUUAUCCUUGUUCUUUCUAAUCCACAGCCAUACCAGGAGAACCAACGCAAGGGCAAUAAAUGAUAGAGAAGUCGAAGUUAAAGCCAUGCCAUAUGAGUAGGUGGUGGGGUUCGUCCUUCUAAUAUUUAUAUUCUUAUUACAGCAUCUAGUGAGUCGGGCCGCUUUACAGUAAAUCGAAGACAUAAACAUGUAAGGUUGAACUAUUUAAUAGAUAAGUUUGAUAGUAUAUUUUGUGUAUUAUAUUUAUAAAAAAUUAGAUUUAAA